rnacentral:rRNA from 1 species
ACCGAAUGUGCCCGUAAGGGGAAAGAUUUAUCGCCAAUAGAUCAGCCCGCGUAGGAUUAGCUAGUUGGUGGGGUAAUGGCCCACCAAGGCUCCGAUCCUUAGCUGUUCUGAGAGGAAGAUCAGCCACACUGGGACUGAGACACGGCCCAGACUCCUACGGGAGGCAGCAGUUGGGAAUCUUGGACAAUGGGCGAAAGCCUGAUCCAGCCAUGCCGCGUGAGUGAUGAAGGCCUUCGGGUUGUAAAACUCUUUCGACGGGGACGAUAAUGACGGUACCCGUAGAAGAAGCUCCGGCUAACUUCGUGCCAGCAGCCGCGGUAAUACGAAGGGGGCUAGCGUUGUUCGGAAUUACUGGGCGUAAAGCGCGCGCAGGCGGUUUUCCAAGUCAGUGGUGAAAGCCCGGAGCUCAACUCCGGAACUGCCAUUGAAACUGUUAAACUUGAGGACGAGAGAGGUGAGUGGAAUUCCCAGUGUAGAGGUGAAAUUCGUAGAUAUUGGGAAGAACACCAGUGGCGAAGGCGGCU